rnacentral:rRNA from 1 species
UCCAUCUGCUGGCACGCGAUAGGGAACUUCGAGUGCCCGUUACUAUCUGGCUGUCCUGAUGCCUAAAAAGCAUUGCAUAGCAAGGGCCGGGCAAGACCGGUGCCAGCCGCCGCGGUAAA